GAUGAACGCUAGCUACAGGCUUAACACAUGCAAGUCGAGGGGCAGCAUGGAUUUAGCUUGCUAAAUCCGCUGGCGACCGGCGCACGGGUGCGUAACGCGUAUCCAACUUUCCCGUUACUCAGGGAUAGCCUUCCGAAAGGGAGAUUAAUACCUGAUGGUGUUUGAAGUUCGCAUGUUCUUCAAACUAAAGAUUUAUCGGUAACGGAUAGGGAUGCGUGACAUUAGAUAGUAGGCGGGGUAACGGCCCACCUAGUCUACGAUGUCUAGGGGUUCUGAGAGGAAGGUCCCCCACACUGGAACUGAGACACGGUCCAGACUCCUACGGGAGGCAGCAGUGAGGAAUAUUGGUCAAUGGUCGGAAGACUGAACCAGCCAAGUAGCGUGAAGGAUGAAGGUUCUAUGGAUUGUAAACUUCUUUUAUACGGGAAUAAAAUAUCCCACGUGUGGGAUCUUGUAUGUACCGUAUGAAUAAGCAUCGGCUAACUCCGUGCCAGCCGCCGCCGUAAGAC
rnacentral:rRNA from 1 species